CAGUCGCCGCGGGAAUACGUAGGUGGCAAGCGUUGUCCGGAAUUAUUGGGCGUAAAGGGCUCGCAGGCGGUUUCUUAAGUCUGAUGUGAAAGCCCCCGGCUCGACCGGGGAGGGUCAUUGGAAACUGGGAAACUUGAGUGCAGAGGAGGAGAGUGGAAUUCCACGUGUAGCGGUGAAAUGCGUAGAGAUGUGGAGGAACACCAGUGGCGAAGGCGACUCUCUGGUCUGUAACUGACGCUGAGGAGCGAAAGCGUGGGGAGCGAACAGGAUUAGAUACCCCAGUAGUCCCUGUCUCUUAUAC
rnacentral:rRNA from 1 species